rnacentral:rRNA from 1 species
GUAGGUGGCAAGCGUUGUCCGGAAUUAUUGGGCGUAAAGCGCGCGCAGGUGGUUCUUUAAGUCUGAUGUGAAAGCCCCCGGGCUCAACCGGGGAGGGUCAUUGGAAACUGGGGAACAUGAGUGCAGGAGAGGAAAGUGGAAUUCCACGUGUAGCGGUGAAAUGCGUAGAUAUGUGGAGGAACACCAGUGGCGAAGGCGACUUUCUGGCCUGUAACUGACAUUGAGGCGCGAAAGCGUGGGGAGCAAACAGGAUUAGAUACCCUGGUAGUCCACGCCGUAAACGACGAGUGCUAAGUGUUGGGGGGUUUCCGCCCCUCAGUGCUGCAGCUAACGCAUUAAGCACUCCGCCUGGGGAGUACGGUCGCAAAGACUG